rnacentral:rRNA from 1 species
CCUACGGGGUGCAGCAGUGGGGAAUAUUGCACAAUGGGCGAAAGCCUGAUGCAGCAACGCCGCGUGAAGGAAGAAGGGUUUCGGCUCGUAAACUUCUAUCAACAGGGACGAAAGAAAUGACGGUACCUGAAUAAGAAGCCCCGGCUAACUACGUGCCAGCAGCCGCGGUCAUACGUAGGAUCCGAGCAUUAUCCGGAGUGACUGGGUGUACAGAGUUGCGUAGGUGGGAUAGUAAGUAGCUAGUGAAAUCUGGUGGCUCAACCAUUCAGACUAUUAGCUAAACUGCUAAGCUCGAGACCGUUAGGGGUAACUGGAAUGUCUAGUGUAGGAGUGAAAUCCGUAGAUAUUAGAAGGAACACCGAUAGCGUAGGCAGGUUACUGGGACGGUUCUGACACUAAGGCACGAAAGCGUAGGGAGCAAACGGGAUUAGAUACCCUAGUAGUC